rnacentral:sRNA from 2 species
AAUUAAAGACGGCUUAGUCCCUGGUACACAGGGAACGGAGGAACCAAUUUUUUGGGGUUAAUUCUGCAGCAGCAGAAAGGAUGAGAAACUCUUUCGCCAUCCUACCCGUCAGCUAACUUCGUCGGCUAAAGCGAAGGAGGUC